GGGAUCGAGGAUUGGAGGGGUGAGAGGCGGGCCCGACGACGGUGGGGGUGGGCGUGGGCGUGGAGGAGUGUUCGGUGCUGCGGGAGGUGGUGGUGGCAGCGUAGUCCAUGGCCAUGAUGAUGUGUCUCCAGCUUGAGAAGGCCGAGGUCCAAAUGGAGCUCCACCAGUUCCACUGAGUUUUGCUUAAGUCUUCUGGAUGGCACACUCCUGUCGUACCACAAAUCAGAACCAAUGCGUCAAUAGGCCUAAUUCACGUGUUAUAAAGUUAAUUAAAUGUUUGGGUACGGAGGUGAAGCCAAACUAGAGGCAUAUAUUGUGCAUGAAUAAGGUUGACCUGGUGGAAGACAAGGACCUCCUGAUAGUUGCAAAAGAAAUCGAAGAUCUUCUUGUGUAUGAAAGGUUUCAUUAGUAUUCUGAUUUUCACUAUGAUUCAAAAAUGUUUUGACA